rnacentral:rRNA from 1 species
UACGGAGGGGGCAAGCGUUAUCCGGAAUUAUUGGGCGUAAAGGGUACGUAGGCGGCCUUUUAAGCGUAGGGUAUAAGGCAAUGGCUCAACCAUUGUUCGCCCUAUGAACUGGAAGGCUUGAGUGCAGGAGAGGAAAGCGGAAUUCCUAGUGUAGCGGUGAAAUGCGUAGAUAUUAGGAGGAACACCAGCGGCGAAGGCGGCUUUCUGGACUGUAACUGACACUGAGGCACGAAAGCGUGGGUAGCAAACAGG